rnacentral:rRNA from 1 species
UACGAAGGGGGGCUAGCGUUGUUCGGAAUUACUGGGCGUAAAGCGCACGUAGGCGGAUAUUUAAGUUAGGGGUGAAAUCCCAGGGCUCAACCCUGGAACUGCCUUUAAUACUGGGUAUCUCGAGUCCGAGAGAGGUGAGUGGAAUUCCGAGUGUAGAGGUGAAAUUCGUAGAUAUUCGGGAGGAACACCGAGGUGGCAGGAGGCCGACUCAGUGCGUACGGUACGUGAC